rnacentral:rRNA from 1 species
AGAGUUUGAUCAUGGCUCAGAUUGAACGCUGGCGGCAGGCUUAACACAUGCAAGUCGAGCGGAGAGAGGUAGCUUGCUACUGAUCUUAGCGGCGGACGGGUGAGUAAUGCUUAGGAAUCUGCCUAUUAGUGGGGGACAACAUUUCGAAAGGAAUGCUAAUACCGCAUACGUCCUACGGGAGAAAGCAGGGGAUCUUCGGACCUUGCGCUAAUAGAUGAGCCUAAGUCGGAUUAGCUAGUUGGUGGGGUAAAGGCCUACCAAGGCGACGAUCUGUAGCGGGUCUGAGAGGAUGAUCCGCCACACUGGGACUGAGACACGGCCCAGACUCCUACGGGAGGCAGCAGUGGGGAAUAUUGGACAAUGGGCGCAAGCCUGAUCCAGCCAUGCCGCGUGUGUGAAGAAGGCCUUAUGGUUGUAAAGCACUUUAAGCGAGGAGGAGGCUACUUUAGUUAAUACCUAGAGAUAGUGGACGUUACUCGCAGAAUAAGCACCGGUUAACUCUGUGCCAGCAGCCGCGGUAAUACAGAGGGUGCAAGCGUUAAUCGGAUUUACUGGGCGUAAAGCGCGCGUAGGCGGCUAAUUAAGUCAAAUGUGAAAUCCCCGAGCUUAACUUGGGAAUUGCAUUCGAUACUGGUUAGCUAGAGUGUGGGAGAGGAUGGUAGAAUUCCAGGUGUAGCGGUGAAAUGCGUAGAGAUCUGGA